rnacentral:rRNA from 1 species
AUUGAACGCUGGCGGCAGGCCUAACACAUGCAAGUCGAGCGGAUGAAGGGAGCUUGCUCCUGGAUUCAGCGGCGGACGGGUGAGUAAUGCCUAGGAAUCUGCCUGGUAGUGGGGGAUAACGUCCGGAAACGGGCGCUAAUACCGCAUACGUCCUGAGGGAGAAAGUGGGGGAUCUUCGGACCUCACGCUAUCAGAUGAGCCUAGGUCGGAUUAGCUAGUUGGUGGGGUAAAGGCCUACCAAGGCGACGAUCCGUAACUGGUCUGAGAGGAUGAUCAGUCACACUGGAACUGAGACACGGCCCAGACUCCUACGGGAGGCAGCAGUGGGGAAUAUUGGACAAAGGGCGAAAGCCUGAUCCAGCCAUGCCGCGUGUGUGAAGAAGGUCUUCGGAUUGUAAAGCACUUUAAGUUGGGAGGAAGGGCAGUAAGUUAAUACCUUGCUGUUUUGACGUUACCAACAGAAUAAGCACCGGCUAACUUCGUG